rnacentral:rRNA from 1 species
UUCGAUUAACGCGAAGAACCUUACCUGGUCUUGACAUCCACGGAAGUUUUCAGAGAUGAGAAUGUGCCUUCGGGAACCGUGAGACAGGUGCUGCAUGGCUGUCGUCAGCUCGUGUUGUGAAAUGUUGGGUUAAGUCCCGCAACGAGCGCAACCCUUAUCCUUUGUUGCCAGCGGGUAAUGCCGGGAACUCAAAGGAGACUGCCGGUGAUAAACCGGAGGAAGGUGGGGAUGACGUCAAGUCAUCAUGGCCCUUACGGCCAGGGCUACACACGUGCUACAAUGGCGCAUACAGAGAGAAGCGACCUCGCGAGAGCAAGCGGACCUCAUAAAGUGCGUGUAGUCCGGAUCGGAGUCUGCAACUCGACUCCGUGAAGUCGGAAUCGCUAGUAAUCGUAGAUC